UACGGAGGGUGCAAGCGUUAAUCGGAAUUACUGGGCGUAAAGCGCGCGUAGGCGGCUGAGUAAGUCGAUUGUGAAAUCCCCAGGCUUAACCUGGGAACUGCAUCCGAUACUGGAUGGCUUGAAUUCGGGAGAGGGAUGCAGAAUUCCAGGUGUAGCGGUGAAAUGCGUAGAUAUCUGGAGGAACACCGGUGGCGAAGGCGGCAUCCUGGACCGAUACUGACGCUGAGGAGCGAAAGGCAGGGGAGCAAACGGG
rnacentral:rRNA from 1 species